rnacentral:lncRNA from 1 species
GGUGGAGGUGCUGGAGGAGCUUGGUGCUGACUUUCACCACCACCCUCUUGAGUUUGAAGGGCAAGGGGGGCUUCUUGGCGUGGUGGUGAGGUCGGAGAUUUCGUUAUGAGUAUUGGCGAGUUGUGAGCACCCUCAUCUCCUCCUGGUGCGACCCCAACAAUAGAGGUGGUUGAAGGAGGACCCUCUCCAGCAGAUACGAACGGUGUGGAGGCGCU